CAUGUUAAAACACCAGUUCCUGUAUAAUCACUGAAGUUAAGCAAUGUCAAGCCUGGUAAGUACUUGGAUGGGUGGCCACUUGGG